AUUGAACGCUGGCGGCAGGCCUAACACAUGCAAGUCGAACGAGUGGCGGACGGGUGAGUAAUGUCUGGGCAACUGCCCGAUGGAGGGGGAUAACUACUGGAAACGGUAGCUAAUACCGCAUACCAUCGGAUGUGCCCACAUGGGAUUAGCUAGUAGGUGGGGUAACGGCUCACCUAGGCGAAGAUCCCUAGCUGGGCGGAGAGGAUGACCAGCCAAACGGGAACUGAGAAAAGGUGCAGACUCCUACGGGAGGCAGAAGUGGGGAAUAUUGGACAAUGGGCGCAAGCCUGAGGCAGCCAUGCCGCGGGUAUGAAGAAGGCCUUCGGGUUGUAAAGUACUUUCAGCGAGGAGGCGUUACUCGCAGAAGAAGCACCGGCUAACUCCGUGCCAGCAGCCGCGGUAAUUC
rnacentral:rRNA from 1 species